GGCCUCGGUACUUCAUUGCUUCCCCUGUCCUGCCCUCAUGUGUAACUCCGGCGGGCGUUGAAAGGAAGACCUGUGGCUGAGUGUUUCAUUUUAGGCUCUAUGACUCAGAAGCAGGGCGCAAUAAGGGGUCGUGGUGCAGCACCCAUCCGAGCUCUGUGGCAUUUGAGUUUGCAUCCUGUGAUAUAAUGUGGGGACACAGGAAGGUACCCUUCUAAAUAAUGCCUUGGCCAAGAUAGGUCACUGCUCAAUGCUUCUUUGCAUGCCUGGCUCAGGAGACAGCUACUUUAAAAAGCCAUAAAGCAGAAAGGAACUUUGCAUGAUCAUGGAACUGAAAGAAUGCCAGUAACCUGGAGUGCAGGAGGCAACUAGAGGUGGUAUGAGAUGAAGUCCCCAAGGUCGGCAGGGGAUCAGAUCAGGAAGGGUUUUAAAUCAAGGGUCUCUCUUGUACUCAGGCU